AUUGAACGCUGGCGGCAGGCCUAACACAUGCAAGUCGAGCGGAUGAAGAGAGCUUGCUCUCUGAUUUAGCGGCGGACGGGUGAGUAAUGCCUAGGAAUCUGCCUGGUAGUGGGGGAUAACGUUCCGGAAGGAACGCUAAUACCGCAUACGUCCUACGGGAGAAAGCAGGGGACCUUCGGGCCUUGCGCUAUCAGAUGAGCCUAGGUCGGAUUAGCGAGUUGGUGAGGUAAUGGCUCACCAAGGCGACGAUCCGUAACUGGUCUGAGAGGAUGAUCAGUCACACUGGAACUGAGACACGGUCCAGACUCCUACGGGAGGCAGCAGUGGGGAAUAUUGGACAAUGGGCGAAAGCCUGAUCCAGCCAUGCCGCGUGUGUGAAGAAGGUCUUCGGAUUGUAAAGCACUUUAAGUUGGGAGGAAGGGCAGUAAGUUAAUACCUUGCUGUUUUGACGUUACCGACAGAAUAAGCACCGGCUAACUUCGUGCCAGCCGCCGCCGUAAAAC
rnacentral:rRNA from 1 species